rnacentral:rRNA from 1 species
GAUGAACGCUGGCGGUCUGCUUAACACAUGCAAGUCGAACGGAAGUAGCAAUACUUUAGUGGCGGACGGGUGAGUAACACGUAAGAAUCUGCCUCCAGGACGGGUAAAACAGUUGGAAACGACUGCUAAUUCCGGAUGAGCCGAAAGGUAAAAAGAAAUUCGCCUGGAGAUGAGCUUGCGGCUGAUUAGCUAGUUGGUAGGGUAAGAGCCUACCAAGGCGACGAUCAGUAUCUGGUCUGAGAGGAUGAGCAGCCACACUGGGACUGAGACACGGCCCAGACUCCUACGGGAGGCAGCAGUGGGGAAUUUUCCGCAAUGGGCGAAAGCCUGACGGAGCAAGACCGCGUGGGGGAGGAAGGUUCUUGGAUUGUCAACCCCUUUUCUCAAGGAAGAAGAUCUGACGGUACUUGAGGAAUCAGCAUCGGCUAACUCCGUGCCAGCCGCCGCUGUAACAC